UACGGAGGAUCCGAGCGUUAUCCGGGUUUAUUGGGUUUAAAGGGUGCGCAGGCGGGGGAUUAAGUCGGCGGUGAAGUUUUGCAGCUCAACUGUAAAAGUGCCUUCGAAACUGGUUUCCUUGAGUGUAGAUGAAGUAGGCGGAAUUUGUGGUGUAGCGGUGAAAUGCAUAGAUAUCACGAGGAACUCCGAUUGCGCAGGCAGCUUACUAAACUACUACUGACGCUCAGGCACGAAGGCGUGGGGAUCAAACAGGAUUAGAUACCCUCGUAGUCCCU
rnacentral:rRNA from 1 species